rnacentral:lncRNA from 1 species
GGGGAGGCACAGGGCUGAAGGCACAACGCUGGAGCAUCCCGGCUGGGAUUUUCUCUCUGCCCGGGGCCGGUUUGCACUUUCUCCUUCGCUGUUGGCUUUUUUUUUCUUUUAAUAUAUAUUCUUUCCCUCCCCCCCCCCCUUCACCCACACCCCUUUCUCGCCGAGGGGGGGGCCCAGCCGGCAGCGCUGCCCCGGCCCAACCAAUCAGGACCCGGUGGGGUUGGGGGAAAUCGGGCCGUGGGCUUUAAAAGCGGAGCCCUUUGUGCACUGCAGCCCGGCGACAGCGGCGGGGUCGGGGUGCGCGUGUCCCCGCAGCCGGGGGGGCAGCGGCCUCGGGGCGGCUGCGAGGGACCCCGGCUGUCUCCGGGCAGGUAUUUCUCUUCCACUUCUCCCGCACCCGAAUAAACACGCGGCAGCUCGGCUUGCCCUGCUUGCUGUUUUGCCGGGUCCGUUGUUUUCUGUUUUAAUUAUUAUUUUGGCUUUGUUGUUGGGUUUUUGUUGUUUUUGUUUUUUUUUUCUUUUAACCGCCUGGUUUCCUUCCUUCUUUGCACCUGGUGGUUUGUUAUAGUAGGGUCUGCUGGGCUGCUUGGGGGUGUUGUGCUGAGGGUGUUGUGCUGGGGGUGCUGCCUGCUGGUGGAGGUGCCCGGAUUUGCUGGGAGUGGGGCAGGGCUUCCCGUGGAGUUGUAGGGUCGCUAGGGGGCUCAGCGCUGCGUAAGGCUGUUGAGAGCUUCCAGGCUUUGCCCCCAGUGGUUGGGUUGGAGGCGCUGGUGAGGUGUGUCCUGGUAUAAGGCGAGAGCUGGGGGGGGCUGCCUCAGUUUCCCCACCUGGAAGCAAGCGGCCCUUCAGUUCCCACCCCUCUCAGUUGUGGGGUGACUUAAAGUUGCCCAAGGUGUCCCUGCAGCUCCUGCUGCCUUGUCCCUGGGCACUGCCACGAGUAGUGGCCCUGGGUGGUACAAAAGUGCUGCUCAGACCCCAGCCAGCCCCGUGGCAUUGGGACCUGCUGCAUUCUCCAGCCUCCCCUCAGCCCCAGCACUGCCCUUUGACUGAAGUGCUGCUUUGAGUCCCAGAGCUGUGCUGAGGCCUUGAAACUGAACUGAGCAGCAAUGGCCGGAGCAACCAAUCAAUAGCACCAUGGGCACUGGACCCAGUCUAUGUUGCACUUCUCCACAUUCUGUCCCCAAAUGGCACUAUGGGGCAGGGCUGGGAGGGGACAUGCUGGUGGCACUGGAGCUGCAAAAGGGAUCAGCUUGUCGGUCACCCCUUCCAGCUGAGUUUGCUCUUUGCUGCCAAAGGCACGUCAUGCUGGUGGCAGAGUGGAUAACACAGCUCUGUGCCCCCACAGUCUUGUGAGAACAGAAGGGGCAUCCCUAAGGGCUGACCCUUGCAAGCAACAUGUGCAGGAAGCCAUUGGCGUGAGCAGGAUCCAGGGCUGAUGUUGGGAUCCUGCUGCACUGUAGGACUUGCAGUGACCCUGUGCAAGGACUGUUAUGCAAAUUGAAAGGAGCCAGGAAACCAGCUGAGAGGCUGUGGGGGGCCAAAGUGAAGCUCAAUUUCCCCUCUUGCCUCUGAGUCACCACAGCUUUCCUGGCCUUGAGACACCACUUUGGUUCCUGCCCAGAGCUGUGGCUCCUUCCAGUGCUGCUGGUGUCACUAUGGCCUGGACCUGCGGGUGGCCUGGGUUGGGGCUGGAGUCACUGCAGUGGUGGUGGGACAGUGUCCAUGAGUCCAAGGGCUUGGCUAUCCUAUGGUCUCCUGAUAGUCACCAUGCUGGUGGCACUUUGUUGCCACUGCAGCCUUUGUGUCCUCCUUCCCCACCUGCCAUCCCAUGCUGAGAGCAGCACACAUUUGGAAACAAAAACACAGUCAAUUCCCUUCCUGCCUGUUGGCUUCCUCUGCUCGUGGCCUUGCUUUGCAGAGCAGCUUCCUAAGAAAACAAGACAAAGGUUGUGCUUUGCUUAUAUAUGUAUGCACAGGCACACACAUGUGUGUGGCUGGCACUUUUCUAAUAGACUUUGACCACAUUUCCAUCCCAGUGGAUGGAGGGGCUGAAAUCUGCAAACAUGUUAAGGUCAGCGGGGCUGAGCAAAGUGCAGCUGGGGGUGGGGUGCAUUCUCCUUCCUGGGGGUGCCCUGCAGCACAACCGCAUAUUAGACAGUGGAGAUGCCACAAACAGAGUGUCCAGCAUGCCCUGCUUCCAGGAUAAGCGUUGAUCCAUUCUGGAAACGGUGUUGCCCUCAGUCUUAAAAAAGAAAAAGCAGAUAAAUUUUUCAGAUUAAACAAGACUUUGGAGAGAGCCUUUGCAGUGGGAAGCUGAGCAGCUGCCUGGAAUUAGGGUAGUGGGGCACGGGGAAGGCAAGGCAGCCUCAGGGCUGUUACAAGGGCUGGAGUGCUCUGCUGUGCUGGGGGCUGAGCGCUACCCUGGCACCGAGCCCGGCUGUGAUGGAUCCGUGUGCAGCAGUGAUACCAUGCUGCCGGAACGGCAGGUUGGCACAGCCCUGCAGUGGUACCCUCCUGGGGGUCCCAAACGCCCGUUCCUGCUGUCGUCAUUGCUGGGACACUGCUCCAGCCCAGUGCUGCCCUCAGCGUUUCCCAUCCUGACCAGGAAAUGCAGCAUUCUGCUGUAUGGAAAAUGCUGUGGGUAUGUGGGGCGCAUCCUUUGUACUGUCCCCGUUGCCCGGUGUUUCUCUGGGCACCCUGAUAUGCUGCAUGCGGGGCUUUUUGCUGUCACAGAGGGAAGCUUGAAAACAGACCUGAAGGCCAAAGGAAAAGGAGCUCCCCUGGGCUGUAGGAUUUUGCAGAUGGUGGUGGUUGGGACCUGGCUUGGUGCUUUUGGGUCACUCCAGAACCGGAAGAACUCAAUUCUCUGUCCCUGGCUCUGACCUUUAUUUCUGCCUGAAACACAAACCUGCCCCCGUGCUGCUGGGCGGGGGUGGGAGCCCUGCGGGUCCCCGUCCCCAUCAGCGUAUGCAUACUGGGGAUGUGGCUCCCUGCUCUUCUGUGGGACGUGGGCUCGGAGCAUCCCACGAGGAAGGAUGGAGAAGGGAACGGAACGUUUAACGCCUGCACAGUGCCCUUCUGUCCCAUGCGGCCGGAGGGGAUGCGCGGGGCAGCGGCGUAGGCCGCGGCUCUUUGUUUCCCCCCUGCGCUGCGGUCCUCCAUGAUGUGGAGAGCGGGCGAGGCCGGCGCUGCGAAAUGGCGGCCGAGGGAGGCGGGGAUCGGGGGGAGGAGGAGGACGGAGGUGGGGAAGGCCGGGCGCCAUGCGGCCUACCCGCGUGCCGCCACGCCGCCACGCACACAAAAGGCUGCAGGGAAAACACGGAGGGCAGCGGGACGCCGUGCGGAGCGGCCUCCGCGGCACGGGGACACCGAUGUCCCCACCGCGCUGCUAUGGGGUAUCUGUGGGGUCACCCCGCAGCCGACGGGGUCAGCGCUGUCCCCCCGUGGCUGCUGAGGGAUGGGAACGUCUCUCUGAGGUCGCACGGCCCGGUGGGGUGAAGCCCCUCGGAGAGCCCCUGUGUGCGGGGUGGGUGGGGAAUGGGGGUGGGGUGACAUCGUGGGGUGGGUGGGGGACAUGGGGACAGACGGGUGGAUGGACGGAUGGCUUCUGCUCUGUUACCCCCGGCUGCAUUGCCAAAGCAACCCCAUCUCUUGUCCCCUUGUCGCAGUGCUGGUCUCCACGCCGUGCCCGGCAAUGGGUUCUGCCUGCCUCUGCUGCUUCUGCUCCCUGCCCUGCUUUGGGUCCGUCCUGCAUUGCAGCACGGCAGCCAUGUGCCCCUCUGUGCCGCUCAGCACGCUGUGCCCAUACAUGUCCUGGGACAAAGCCGUGCUGGGGAAACUCAGCAAGUCAGGACACAAAGCUGCUUUGUGCCCCGCGCUUUGUCUUAAAGGCACAAUGUCUCUUUCUGGGGUGGCCGGAAAAAGCGGGGGCUGCAGGUCUCAUGCCUUUGGAGAUCCGCACAGCCCACGGGGAUUGCUCACCUAGCAGCCGUGAGAGGAUGGUAAAAGGGUCCCUUACGUUUUAGGGAUGGGGCCCAUCCUAGGGGAGAGGUUUGCCCAACCAUGGAAACCCCAGUCCUCAAGCAGGUCUGGCCUCCCCAGCAAGUCAGGCUGGUUUCAAGGCGCUGCAGGGCCAGGCUGGCCCCAGUCCCCCUGCCUGGCUCCAUAGCAGCUCACCAAGGUCCACCCAGGUCACUGCCAUCCUGAAGUGGGGAUGGCAGUGCUGGGGUGAGGAGUGGAGGACAGCUGUGCUCCAGCUGCGAUGAGGGGCUGGGCUGGUGGUGGGAGGGACUGGGACCGUUGCCUAGGGCCUGCUGUUCUGUGCUGGGGGGGCCAUGAGGGGGUUGAGGCUGACCCACACCCAUGAGAUAGUGCUAUCCCCUAAGCUCCCAGUGCUGGGGGGGGGGGGGCACAGAGCAGAAAUUCCUGCUCCCUCCACUCCUUGCUGUUAGCUGUGAUGAAGUUGCUCAGGUCUCAGCCUAAUCGCAAUGAGCAAGGGGGGGGGGGGGGGGGGGGAACGUUCAUGCCAGAGCCUUAAGCCCACAGCCCACACACCCCAGGGCAAAGGCACCCCAUUGUCCCCCACCCCACAUCCCUCUGUGGGGCACAGGUUUGGAUGCUGUGGAUGCAGGGCACCCUCUGGUGGAACCUACCUGCAGCUCACUGCUGCCCACCCGUGCUCUCCUGCAUGAGCCCCCCAUGGGCGUGCACAGUCCCGGGUGGGUACGUGUGCUUACACACCCCCUGUCCUUGCACACACGUUUUGCACACCCGCUCACCCAUGCGAGGAUGGGGAUCACAUCCUGCACAGCGCUCUGCAGGGCUUUGGCCACCAGCCCAGCUCACACAACCGGAGAUGGAAAAAGCUAAAUUUACAGGCAGCCGGGACAGGGGGAACACAAUCAGAGACACACACACACACACACGCACACACACAGGCAGGCUCACAACUUUUAUUUAAAAGUUCCUUUUGGAGAUCAUUUCCAGGGCUGUGAGCCGGGGCUGAGCACUCAGACAGGGAGACGAUUAAAAAACCCGGUGGUGAAAAAGCGUGGGCCACAUCAGCUGCCUUUGGGUGCUCCUUCCCCAGUGGACGCUGCAGGAUUUGGAUCUGACAAAAAUGGGAACAGCAAAACAGCCUGGGCCGGCACCCAGAGCUGCUCAGUGUUAAUUAAUCUGUGCUGCGACGCAGUCCGCCCUCAGCCCCAGAACAUCCCAACAUAGGCAUGGCUUCGGCCACAAAACUCUGCUCAGUUUUAGGAAGGAGGAGGUACGGCCGCUGUCCCAUUGCCGUUUCCCAGUGGCCAUCCCAGUGCGUGUGACUCUGGCUAUGGGGCUGUAGCUCUCCUUGCUCCACAGCCCCCCCAAACGACCCCCAAACCCAGCAGGACCCCAUGGACCCCACAAGAUGGGUGGGAUCCGUGCUUGUCCCAUGUCCUCUGAUGAGGUGGGAAAGGAAUAGUCACUUCGGUGCAAUGGGGACCAUGGCAGAGCUCCACAGCCUGGCCAUCCCCAUGCAAAGGACCCGGUGUCGGGGUGUGUUGCGGCUCUGCUGCUUCUCUCUUCCCCUGCCCGUUUAUUUUUAUCCCUGGCACAGGAUGGGGAUGGUGGGAGCUGUGCCAGAGCUGCAGCUGCCGGCGGGUUUGGGGGCGAGGACUGGAAGCUGGGCACCACUCAGGGUCUGCUGUGGGGCAGCACUCGGGAUCUGCUUUGGGGCAGCGAGAGGUGUCCCCAUGGCAUGGGGCUGGGGACAGCAACGCCACCCAAUAGGGUUUCAUCCCGGAGUCCUGGGGUGGGGGAAAACAGCAUCCUCCACAGGGGGCAAUGCCAGAAUGGGGCAGGGCCGAGGGGUGCCGGGCACUGGUUUUGGGGCAGGGAUGGGGCGCGGGGUCGGAGCUGGAGGUAGGGGCGGGGGCAGGCAGCACCGCCGUGACUCAGCUGGGGGUGGCAGCCGGGAGGUGUUUGUGUUUAGUUUCUAACGUUACCGUUUCCACAGCACCGGGAAGCGGCCCCGAACCCCGGGGGCCGUGAGGAGCCGGGCUGGGGCGGCGGGGCGGGGGGGUCACAACGCUGCUCACGCCGCAACAGCUAAAAAUACCUCGGGCUAUUGUCGCCGGUAACAAAGCGCCCGGCGUAUUUUUAGCGUUAUCUCCGCCGCCCUCCGGGGAGCGCUCCGCCCGCAGAGCCGCCCCUGUGCCUCAGUUUCCCCCGCGCUCCCCGUCCCACCGCCGCCAUCCCGCCCCGCACGCGGUCCGCUCUGCUCCAGCCCUGGCAGAGAACGGAUGCGAUGAGUUGGACGGGUGCCACCAGGUCUCUAAGAGUCACAACAACAGGCUGGCGGAGCGCCGCGUCCCAUGCUGUCCCCUUUUCGCAGCCUUCAUCCCCGAGGCCCAGCACCAGGAGGCAGCAGCACCGCCUCGCUCAGUGGGAUCUGGCGUCGCUCCUUGCGCUGCAGUGAGUUGGCGCGGUCUCAGCGCAGCACCGGGGAGGGCCGUGCCAGCCUGUGCGGGCUCUGCCAGGAGCUGGGCACGCUCCCAGCCCUGAAAUGCCAGGAUAACGCUGGAUUUGUGCAGCUUUCCCUGCUGGAAUGAGAGGGAGGGAGCUUUAACUCUCCUUUUCCCUGCCAGUGUGGUUCGGCUCGGCAGCACAGAACGGAUGGGAGCGGGUCACCCACAGCAGGGAUGGGGCUGUGACUCCACCACCACCCCUCUCCAAAAAGUCACCUACACACCACUGCUCGAGUAGGAAGCUUGGGCUGCCCUCUGCUCCUCGCGUUCCCCCUCCAUCCUCCAGACGGUCCCAGCACGUCCCUUAUGGCACACUUGGUUUCGGGGGGGUGUACUCCCCCAUCCCCUGCCCCGUGCCCCCUCGGCACCCGGCCCGGCUCUCAGCUCUCAGCCUGGGCUGUAAGCCCAGGGCACAGCAACCCCCCCUUCGCUGAUGACUGCGGGGGGGGCUAUUGCAAAAGGUAAGCAAAUAAGGGGUGAAACAUACCCCGGAGGGACUGGGACCCCAAGUUUCCCCACGGGGCCGGGUCUGGUGGGGACUGAGGGUGUGCCGGGGGGGGGGCAUCUGUGCCCCGGGAGGGAACAGCAGGGACAUCCCGCGGGGGGCAGGGAUUUAAGGGCGGGCAGAAAGGGAUCCGAUAAACCCCGACCUGCGCACAGAUGUGCGGGAGUGGUGGGGGUGGAGUGGCUAUCGGAGACGGUUCCCGUGGGAGAAAGCAUGUUGGGGGGGUGGGGGGGGGGCAGAUUUUGCAGAGGAGGGGAGGAGCGGCGGCGCCGGCUCCGGCGGUCCCGACACUGGGCGGCCCCGGCACGGCGGCGGCUCCGGUACCGCUGUGACUUCGGAGCAGUUCAGCGGAGGAGGAAGCAGCGGGAGCAGGCAGGCAAGCGGCAGUGGGACUGCGGCCCCCUCCCGACCUCGGCACCCCCAGCCCACACCACCGCCACGCAACCGGAGGGGUUUGCUGGGUGGGGGAGUAAAUUCCCAAAGGAAACACUGACGGUGCUGCUCCACCAGCCAAAAUCUGUGUGGCUGCCGUGCCCCCCAGCUGCCCCCACUGCUGGGGCCAGGCAGAUGGGAGCCCUGCACUGAGGCUGUUGCCAGACUACAGCUCUUGGCGUGCCCCAUACCCAAUAUACCGCUGCCACAGAGACCCCAAGGCUUCACCUUGGCUUUCCUUCAGCCUGAUUCCAGCGGGGUUGAGGACAGAGGGACGCUUUGGCUUUGUCACGAGGCUCCUUGCCAGCCCCAGCUCUGAACAUACCAGCCAGGUGCCAGCUCAUCCCUGAGUCCCGUUCCCUCUUUUUUACCCAAAAAUGGGAGCUGUGCCACUCCCCACCCUGCUGCGAGUGGGUGGCAUCUGGGUGGGGACAAUGGAGAUCAGGGUGCAGGAUAAAGCCGAGCCUAUUUUUAUCCCACAAAGUAAUUACCACAGCCUUCCAGUCCUUAAUCUGCUGAGAGCACCCUGGCACGAUUGGGUCCCUCCCUGAGCCUGGCAACAGUGCUCCUGUCACACGUCUCCUGCGUCAGAGCCCAGUAAACUCCCACCCGUGGCGCCUCCAGGAACGGGAACGGGGAUCUCAUUUGGGGGCUGGGAUUGAGGUCUCACCUCUCACCCCUGGGUGUCCCAGUCCCCGCACCGAGACUGGUGGGGCUCCAGCUGGGUGAAAGCACUAAAUCCAGACUAUUUUCCCUAUGGCUGCCCCAAAAGGUUUCUACCUGCAGUGCACAGCUUCCACCGGGGUCGCAGGUCCCUCUCCACCGAGCAGGGGCGGCUCCGGCUGCCGGUGCCAAGUCCCCACUGGCUCCAUUCCCAGCCUCUCCCCAUCCCGUCACCCUGCUCUGGCUCGCUGAAGAACCUGUUCCAUAGCUCCUGCCACGAGUGGAAAUUAUGGGCUGUAUUUGGAGCAGUGCUUUUCACCCAUUGCGGAGGGACCGCUUCAUCCGCACAUCUGCAGCCAGCUCCAGGGAGGGAUGUUUGGGACCCCGUGGGACCCUCUGGGGACCUCACGUCACCGUUGUUGGAUAUCUGGCAGCAUCCCUCGCUCCGUCCAUCCCAGCACACAGCAGCAAGCACAAAGUAAAGUUAUCGGUGUGCCACACUAAGCCACUGCUGUCACGAGGCAGGAGCUGAUGUGGAACUUCAGGGUGACCCCAGCAAUGUCCCUGUCCCUGCCUGGCGGGACGCAGUGGGCUGUGAAACGUCUGCCAGCACCAAUGGCCAUAAAAGGUCCUGAAACAGAGAGCCCGGGCGGGAUCAUCCGGGAUGUGGGAAUGGGGCCCGGAGCAGGAUGGGGCGGUGGCACACAGUGUCCCUUCCCUGCUGCCCAUUUGGGAUCUGCAUCACCUCCCACGCGGGGCUCAGGGGGACAAUGCCACCCAUUCAUUGGGGCACCUGGGUGGUGGGAGCGAGGGGCACGCAGCGAGUUCCCCCCGACCCCACAGCCUCACCCCACAGACAAUGGCUGCCCUUUGUUGGGGUUUUCUGUGUCCGGCCCCCACCCUGCCACCCAGCUGGUGACAUUUACCACCUCCACGUUCACAAGGGGACUCAAAGGUCUUAAGAUGUGCUGUGGAAUCAUGAAGCACGGCUGGCCCCCUCUGUGCACUCUAUUUGGGGUCCACUGGUGGGGAAUGAGGGAUGAAGAUGAAAUGGGGACCCUUUCCAGUUUGGUGACAUUUGACCUUUUUGAGAUGGAUCCACUGCUGCCCUGGGGGUACCUCACUGUGACUGCAACAGCACGGAGUGCCAGCCCCUGUGGGGUAUGCCAUGUCUUCCAUCCCACCAGAAAGGUCCCUGCACCCAGCUCCUGCCCCCUCCCAGACCCCCAGGGCAGUUCCCCCAGGAGCCGGGCAAGCAGCCCUGUUCCUCCUGGCCACCUCCAUGGGGUCCUUGGAAACACAAACCCAUAAUAAGCAGGCAGCCUGAGAGCUUAGAGGGAAAUGAAUGCUUUAGGGUAAUUCAUAGGGUGUGUGGGGUCAUGAAAAUGAGCACAGCCGUGCACGGAGGUGGGUGCCUGCAGUACGCCGGGGCGGCUGAUCUGGAGCUGGAGUCCUGCGGGGUGCAGAUGCUGCUCUGCCCUCUGGCUUCAGUGCAGGCUUGGGGACACCCAGGGAAGGUGACACAGGGCACAAAGCCUGGGGGGUGCGAGGACACGGGGUGCACUUUGAAAUGGGAUGCACAUUACGUAGGAUGCAGAGUGCGCAUUACGUGGGAUAGGGGGUGCUCGCGUUAGGGAGGAUGAAGAGUGCAGCCCACCUCCCCCCUCUCCCCCGUGCUGCUCACGUUUCCCCACCCACCCCCUGCAGUUGGCUGACGCGGGCUGACGUCCCUAUAUUAUGCUGAUUUAUGCGAGUUAACCCUUUCCUCGCCGUACGAGGGGGCUCCGUUGCUGGGAGGGGGGGGGAUGGUCCCGGGACCCCGCCCGGGGCUGUCAUUGCCUCCCCACAACCCCCCCCACCCCUCCCCGCGGGUUUCCAUGAGAACAGGACCGGGAUGAUGUCAGCGGUUGCUACGCGACAGCGUGAGGUCACUGUCGCCAUGGCG